rnacentral:lncRNA from 1 species
UUAUAAUGAAGAGAAGGUUCUCCGAAAAAUUAGAACCAAGAGAUGUUUUUCUAUGUAUAGAAAAAGAUAUUUAUUAUGAGGAAUUGGCUCACGUGAUUAUGAAGGCUGACAAGUCCCAAGAUCUGCAGGGUGAGCUGGCAAGCAGGAGAUCCAGGAGAGCUGAUGGUGUGCCAGUCUGAGUCUGAAGACCUGAGAACCAGGAGAACCAAUGGUAUAGUUCCAGUCUGAAGGUCAGCAGGCUCAAGAACCAGGAAGAGCCGAUGUUUCAGUUAGAGUCCAAAGGCAGGAAAAAGCUGAUGUCUCAGUUCAAAAGCAGUCAGGCAGGAAGAAUUCUCUCUUACUUGAAAAAGGGUUAGCCUUUUUGUUCUAUUCAGGCCUUCAGCUGAUUGAUGAGACCCACUCGCAUUAGGAAUGGCAACCUGCUUCACUCAGUCUACAGAUUUAAAUAUUCAUCUCAACCAAAACAUCCUCACCUAAACCUUUAGAAUGAUGUUUGACCAAUAUUUGGUUACCUCAAGGCCCAGUCAAGUUGACACAUAAAAUUAACCAUUAUAUCUUUAUUGUUAUCUUUCUACUACUUUCUUUGGGUUUAAUUCACUGUUUAUCUAGCUUACUGGGUUGGAUACUAAGAUCACUGAUUUUCAGCUUUUCUUCACUUUUUAAGAAAUGUAAUAUAAACUAUAAAUUUUCCUGGAGGCACAGCUUUAGCUACAUUGCACAAGUUUUUGAUAUGUCACAUUGUUAUUGCAAUUUUGUUUAAAAUAUAUUCUAAUUUUUAUACUGAUUUCUUCUAUGACAUAGAAGCUAUUCAGAAGUGUAGUACUUAAUGACUAAACAAUUAGGGGAUUUUUCAUUUAUCUUUUUCUUAUUGAUAAUCUUGCUAAAUUCUCUUGUGGUUAGAGAACAUAUUGUGUAUUAUUUUAAUCCUCUGAAAUUUAUUGGCAUGUUUUUUGGUUCAGCAAAUAUACAACUUUGGCAAAUACUCUAUAAGCACUUGAAAAUAAUGUGUGGUCUGCUAGUACUAUAUACAUAAUGUAUUAUAUGUGUCAACUUGGUUAAGUUGUUAAUCAUGUGGUUUUAAUUUUCUUUAUCCACACUAAUUAUUUCUUUGUUUGUUUGUUUUCUCAGUGACUGGAAGAGGUUUGUUAAAAUCUCCAACUACAAUUGUAGAUUUGAGUAUUUUUCAUUUUAGUUCUGUCCAAUUUUAAAAAUAUUUUUAGUUCUAUCAAAUUAUACAUACACACACAUCAUGAUUCCAUGCAAAAUGAAAACACAAUUCAGAUAAGCACAUGUUUUAGUUAACGUGGUACCAUGCAAAGUAAGCACUACCUGUAUACUAUAAAUCUAUGUCAUCAUUAGGCAUAUACAAAUUUAGGAUUAUUACAUCUUCUGCUGAAUUAACCAAUUUCUAUUAUAAAAUAUUAUCCUUAAAAAAGUUUUUGCCUUAAAGUCUGUAUCCUCUGAUAUUAGUAUAGUUACACAAGUUUUCUUUGGUUAUGGUUUACAUACUAUAUCCUUUUGCAGUUUUGCGUUAAACUUUUCUACAUCUGUAAGUUUAAAAUGUAUCUCUUGUAACAGCAUAUUGUUGUUUUAGCAGUUUGCAAAUUAUUGUCUGGUAAUUAGCCUAUUUAGUCAGUUUACAUUUAAUAUAAUUGCUGACAUAUUUUAGAACAAAGCUACCUACUUAUCUUGUAUUUGUCCCAUUUGUUAAUGUGUCCUCCCUCUUUUUGGGAAGGGAGUUGGUUAGUAGUUUUUUCUUAUCCUAAUUUUCCACUCUAUUAACUUAUCCAUUAUACAUACAUUUAUUAUAUUUUACCCACCAGAAUAAAAAUUUUUCAUGACUUAUCAAAUUAUAAUGUAAAUUAGUACUUGUGCUACUUUCUGGAAAUUAUAAGGACUGUAUUAGUCAGGGUUCUCCAGAGAAACAGAAUCAAUAGGAUAUAUAUCUGUAUAGCUAUAUAAGAAGGAAUUUAUUAUGCAAAUUGGUUCAUGUAAUUAUGCAGGAUUAGAAGUUCCACAAUAUGCUCUCUAUAAGCUGACUAAGUAGGAAAACUGGGAUUGUAAUUUAGUCUGUGUUUGAAGGCCUGAGAACCAGAGAAGUGGGAGAGGCCUGGGAAAGAAAAGUCUGAAGUCCUGAGAACCUUGAGCUGAUAUUCAAAAGCAGGAAAGGAUAGAUGUCCCAGUUCCAGUAGAGAGAGCAAAUUCACCUUUCGUCUUUUUUGUUCUAUCCUAAGCUCAAUAAACUGGAUAAUGUCUACUCACAUUGGUGAGGGCAGAUAUUCUUCACUCAGCCUACUAAUUCAAAUGGUCAUUUAUUCUGGAAACACUUUCACAGACAUACUAAAAAUAAUGUUUUACCAACUCUCUGAGUAUUCCUUAAUCCAGUCAGUUUGGUGUGUAAAAUUAACCAUCAUAAAGACAUUGGCAAUUAAAUUUAGUGAACGUCAUCCCAACUUGUAUCAUAAUUCUCAAUAUAUUACACUGCAAGAAGUCAUUAUUAUUUUUAUAAAAUAUUUCCUUAGUUUAACACGUUUGUGGUUCUUUAUUCUUUUCUUCAUCUCUGUUCUUAUAUAAUAGAUCAUUUUCAUUUGCUU